rnacentral:rRNA from 1 species
UACGUAGGCAGCAAGCGUUGUUCGGAGUUACUGGGCGUAAAGAGUGCGUAGGCGGUGCUCUAAGUUUGGUGUGAAAUCUCCCGGCUCAACUGGGAGGGUGCGCCGAAAACUGGAGUGCUUGAGUGUGGGAGAGGCAAGCGGAAUUCCUGGUGUAGCGGUGAAAUGCGCAGAUAUCAGGAGGAACACCGGUGGCGAAGGCGGUUCUCUGGGCAUGAUCUGACGCUGAGGAGCGAAAGUGUGGGGAGCGAACAGG